UAUUUAUAUUUUUUCUUUCCUUUUCCGCCUACCAACUUGAAACACUUGCGUGGUAAGGCGUAAAGCCUAACUCUUGUUAUAAUUAUAAAUAUAUAAUUAUAAAAUAUUUUGUAAAAUGUAUCUAUAAGGUUUUAUUUCCGCACUGACCACCUGGUAAAAUUUUUUUUU